rnacentral:rRNA from 71 species
UCGAUCUCAAAUCAAGUAAGACUACCCGCUGAACUU